UGGAAGCGUCUGGAAAGGCGCGCGAUACAGGGUGACAGCCCCGUACACAAAAAUGCACAUGCUGUGAGCUCGAUGAGUAGGGCGGGACACGUGGUAUCCUGUCUGAAUAUGGGGGGACCAUCCUCCAAGGCUAAAUACUCCUGACUGACCGAUAGUGAACCAGUACCGUGAGGGAAAGGCGAAAAGAACCCCGGCGAGGGGAGUGAAAAAGAACCUGAAACCGUGUACGUACAAGCAGUGGGAGCCUCUUUUAUGGGGUGACUGCGUACCUUUUGUAUAAUGGGUCAGCGACUUAUAUUCUGUAGCAAGGUUAACCGAAUAGGGGAGCCGAAGGGAAACCGAGUCUUAACUGGGCGUUAAGUUGCAGGGUAUAGACCCGAAACCCGGUGAUCUAGCCAUGGGCAGGUUGAAGGUUGGGUAACACUAACUGGAGGACCGAACCGACUAAUGUUGAAAAAUUAGCGGAUGACUUGUGGCUGGGGGUGAAAGGCCAAUCAAACCGGGAGAUAGCUGGUUCUCCCCGAAAGCU
rnacentral:rRNA from 1 species